rnacentral:rRNA from 1 species
UUACGGCUACAUCACGUUGAAAGACCAGUUCCCGUACGAUCAUCGAAGUUAAGCAACGUCGAACCUGAUCAGUACCUAGAUGGGUGACCGCAUGGGAAUGCCAGGUGCUGUAAG